rnacentral:misc_RNA from 1 species
CCACGUCAGUCUUCCUACACAGGUGGCAGCGCUCAUAACAAGACAAACGCCACGUUCACAAGCGGCCAUUGUUAGAAAACACAGUAUUAAGGAACGUACACUAUGGACAAACCAAAGAAGAGUCCAGAUGGAGAGCGAAACAGCCUUACACCAAGGUCUCGUUCGCGUUCGAGGUCUCGACUGGAUUCACCGGCCAACUCUCCACCUCAUAGGCGCGCUACAUCACAGUCUCGCUCUCCUCAGCCUCGUAGACGCUCCUUUAGCAGGUCACGUUCUCGCACACCUCGCCGGCAUCGGUCACGCAGUGGAUCUCCUCGCAAUGGACACGAGGGUAGCCGCCGUUCACGACGAACUCGGUCACCAUCCUCAAGCUCUCCAAUGUCUAAUCGCAGGCGUCAUAUUGGCACACGAGAUAACCCCGAGCCAUCCAAAUGUCUUGGAGUGUUUGGUUUGAGUGUGUACACAACAGAGAGACAGCUGCACAGCAUCUUCGUCAAGUUUGGACCUCUGGAGAAGGUGCAAGUUGUUCUUGACUCAAAGACUGGAAAAUCAAGAGGAUUCGCAUUUGUGUACUUUGAGUCUAUAAAGGAUGCUGCUGAAGCCAAGGACGAAUGCUCUGGAAUGGAAAUUGAUGGACGGAGGAUCAGAGUAGAUUUCUCUAUUACAAAGAGACCUCAUACACCUACACCAGGCAUUUACAUGGGCAGACCUACCACACGAGGUGGUUAUGAUCGUGGAUAUGGUGGGCGAGGUGGCGGCGGGUAUAGGGGAGAUAGAUACCGCUCUCCUUCACCACGAUACAGGCAACGUUCCAGUGGUGGCCGCCGCGACUAUUAUGACCGUGGGUAUGUACCCGGCCUGGGAGUUACUGCACAACUCAAGCCACUACCAGACAGUAUUCAUGUGGAGGCAAGCUAGUUAAGCAAGUGUACAGAAGCUAUUGUGUAGGCCUCGGGGCUGAAGAUGAUGAACCACAAGUUAUUGGUGAAGGUUGUUAAGCAUUGAAUGAGAAGUAUUCAGGUUCAUUAAGAACAAGUUCCUUUGGCAGUUGACAAGUCCACAUGAAACACAAAUAUAAUGUGCGAAACACUAAGAAUUGAGGAUUCUCAAUAGCCUGAGAUACGACCGUGGAGACCGGAGUUACUAUAGAGGUGGUGGUGGCUAUGACCGAUAUGACC